rnacentral:lncRNA from 1 species
GUUUACAUUUAAAUUUGAAAUUAUGUAAGUAUUAACAAAUUUUCUUGCAAGUGGUCUAUUCUUAAUAAAUAUUAUGACUUGCUUUAAUGAAAAAAAAAAUCAGGUAUGGGACCUUAAUUGCUGAAAGUCUAGGAAUUAUUGUAAAGUCAACUAUAGUAAGGUGUAACACCAUCAAAUCAUAGUAAGUCACAGCGAUUUUAUAGGAAAGGGGGGAAAAUGUUCAAUUGAAUUUGACAUUAGUAGGAAAUUAAACUUUGCAGUGAAAAUGUUUUCAAAGACCAUUCUUUUUUAGUUUGAAGUUUCCAUAAAAUAUUUUUGGAAACUUGAGGUUAAAUGAUUAAAUCACCCAGUCGUGUUAUUUGCAUUCAUAAAAACC